rnacentral:rRNA from 1 species
GACGAACGCUGGCGGCGUGCUUAACACAUGCAAGUCGAACGGAAAGGCCCUGCUUUUGUGGGGUGCUCGAGUGGCGAACGGGUGAUUAACACGUGAGUAACCUGCCCUUGACUUUGGGAUAACUUCAGGAAACUGGGGCUAAUACCGGAUAGGAGCUCCUGCUGCAUGGUGGGGGUUGGAAAGUUUCGGCGGUUGGGGAUGGACUCGCGGCUUAUCAGCUUGUUGGUGGGGUAGUGGCUUACCAAGGCUUUGACGGGUAGCCGGCCUGAGAGGGUGACCGGCCACAUUGGGACUGAGAUACGGCCCAGACUCCUACGGGAGGCAGCAGUGGGGAAUAUUGCACAAUGGGCGGAAGCCUGAUGCAGCAACGCCGCGUGCGGGAUGACGGCCUUCGGGUUGUAAACCGCUUUCGCCUGUGACGAAGCGUGAGUGACGGUAAUGGGUAAAGAAGCACCGGCUAACUACGUG